UGGCGUGAUCAUUGAAGUGAAUGCAGG
rnacentral:piRNA from 1 species